rnacentral:rRNA from 1 species
GAUGAACGCUGGCGGCGUGCCUAAUACAUGCAAGUCGAGCGAACGGACGAGAAGCUUGCUUCUCUGACGUUAGCGGCGGACGGGUGAGUAACACGUGGAUAACCUACCUAUAAGACUGGUAUAACUUCGGGAAACCGGAGCUAAUACCGUAUGAUAUCUUGAACCGCAUGGUUCAAUAGUGAAAGACGGUCUUGCUGUCACUUAUAGAUGGAUCCGCGCUGCAUUAGCUAGUUGGUAAGGUAACGGCUUACCAAGGCAACGAUGCAUAGCCGACCUGAGAGGGUGAUAGGCCACACUGGAACGGAGACACGGUCCAGACUCCUACGGGAGGCAGCAGUAGGGAAUCUUCCGCAAUGGGCGAAAGCCUGACGGAGCAACGCCGCGUGAGUGAUGAAGGUCUUCGGAUCGUAAAACUCUGUUAUUAGGGAAGAACAUAUGUGUAAGUAACUGUGCACAUCUUGACGGUACCUAAUCAGAAAGCCACGGCUAACUACGUG